UAAAAGAGUAGGUUGGGUAGUCAAGAAGUUAGAGUUUGUUGGCUGUGCUGUGAGGAAGAAGGAGUUGGUACUGUGAGGAGCUGCCCGUAAGAAAUUACCAAGAAGGAGAAACAAGACUAUAUCCCACAUUCUCAAGGCUUUUUUGAGUGUGCCAUUUCUCUCCUGCUUUGGUUCCUCUGGCUGUAUUCAGUGAUGGAACUCAUAAGUGUCACAUUCAACUGAACCCAAAUCUCAAAGCAAAACUCAACAGUCAUCAUCAAUUAUUUGCCGAAGUCAAGUGUUGAAACAUCCACCAGUUAUGGUUCCUUGGAGACAGAUUAGUGCUUUCAGUAAAUUUGACAGGAAUUUCACAUCUGUAAGAAGUGGGAAAAAAAAAAAAUGAAGCCCAGCUGAAGAAGCUUG